rnacentral:rRNA from 1 species
GAUGAACGCUGGCGGCGUGCCUAAUACAUGCAAGUCGAGCGAACCACUUCGGUGGUGAGCGGCGAACGGGUGAGUAACACGUAGGUGAUCUGCCCAUCAGACGGGGACAACGAUUGGAAACGAUCGCUAAUACCGGAUAGGACGAAAGUUUAAAGGUGCUUCUGGCACCGCUGAUGGAUGAGCCUGCGGCGCAUUAGCUAGUUGGUAGGGUAAAGGCCUACCAAGGCGACGAGGCGUAGCCGACCUGAGAGGGUGAACGGCCACACUGGGACUGAGACACGGCCCAGACUCCUCCGGGAGGGAGCAGUGGGGAAUCUUCGGCAAUGGGCGAAAGCCUGAUCGAGCAACGCCGCGUGAAUGAUGAAGGCCUUCGGGUUGUAAAAUUCUGUUAUAAGGGAAGAACGACUUUAGUAGGAAAUGGCUAGAGUGUGACGGUACCUUAUGAGAAAGCCACGGCUAACUACGUGCCAGCAGCCGCGGUAA